rnacentral:rRNA from 1 species
AUUGAACGCUGGCGGCAGGCCUAACACAUGCAAGUCGAACGGUAACAGGAAGAAGCUUGCUUCUUUGCUGACGAGUGGCGGACGGGUGAGUAAUGUCUGGGAAACUGCCUGAUGGAGGGGGAUAACUACUGGAAACGGUAGCUAAUACCGCAUAACGUCGCAAGACCAAAAAGGGGGACCUUCGGGCCUCUUGCCAUCGGAUGUGCCCAGAUGGGAUUAGCUAGUAGGUGGGGUAACAGCUCACCUAGGCGACGAUCCCUAGCUGGUCUGAGAGGAUGACCAGCCACACUGGAACUGAGACACGGUCCAGACUCCUACGGGAGGCAGCAGUGGGGAAUAUUGCACAAUGGGCGCAAGCCUGAUGCAGCCAUGCCGCGUGUAUGAAGAAGGCCUUCGGGUUGUAAAGUACUUUCAGCGGGGAGGAAGGGAGUAAAGUUAAUACCUUUGCUCAUUGACGUUACCCGCAGAAGAAGCACCGGCUAACUCCGUG